GACGUAGGGCGCGAGCGUUGUCCGGAUUUAUUGGGCGUAAAGAGCUCGUAGGCGGUCCUUUAAGUCGGAAGUGAAAUCUCAGGGCUCAACCCUGAAAUUGCUUUCGAUACUGGCGGACUUGAGGCAGGUAGGGGAGAGCGGAAUUCCUGGUGUAGCGGUGAAAUGCGCAGAUAUCAGGAGGAACACCGGUGGCGAAGGCGGCUCUCUGGGCCGUACUGACGCUGAGGAGCGAAGCGUGGGGAGCGAACAGG
rnacentral:rRNA from 1 species